GUCACACCAAGGAAACGAUUCGUGGUCAAGACUGUUCCCGUGAAACGGGUAUCUCACGGUCGAAAGAGCACAGCUGUGUUCCGGAGCCCUUACGACAGCUACGAUGAGGCGGACGCCAUCCGCACGGCGGACCGUGACGUCCCCCACAAGGUCUCCUCCUACCUGCCGCCCUACAAGCCGGCCGUCGUGGCCAAAAAGGCCGUCCACGUACCGAUCCACACGUCGCACGACGUGCACGUGCCAGUCCAUGCACCCCACGACACCCAUAUACCAGUCCACACACCCCACGACACUCAUGUACCAGUCCACACCUCCCACGACUCUCAUGUUCCAGUCCACGCCUCCCACGACGCACAUGUUCCAGUUCACGCCUCCCACGACGCACAUGUUCCAGUUCACGCCUCCCACGACGCACAUGUUCCAGUUCACGCCUCCCACGACGCACAUGUUCCAGUUCACGCCUCCCACGACGCACAUGUUCCAGUUCACGCCUCCCACGACGCACAU